CCACAAAAAGUCAAACUGGUAAUAGAAGUUAACGCGUUAAAUGUCUGUUGAGCGGCGUAAGGGAGGGACAUUCCCAAGAUUGGAUUCCUGAGUUCGUCUCGCCGCUGUUCAUUUCUGUAAUCGGAGCUUCUCCGGGGAAAACAAGGAGGAGGCCUCAGCAGCCACCCACGCGGCGGCCACGCUGUUCGGAUUUUGAGCAAAAAACUGGUCAGAAAAGUGAAAGCAUCGAUCAGGUUAGACUUCAGAUUGAAAGACAAACAAUUAUACAAAGUUAUGUGAUUUUCUUGUGCUUGGUGGUGGUGUUGUAAUCAUGGCGCUGUCCUUAGUCGGAGGGGCGGCCAUAGGAGCGCUGUUCGGAGCGUUGUAUGAUGUCGUUAAGAUAUCGAUAGGCAAGACUGCUAUGCAGUAUAAACCCCUCCUCAGAGAACUUAAAUUCACGUUAGACUCCCUAAGGCCGCGGAUCAUCCAACAGAUAGGAGAACAUAACGUGGAAUUGGGUAUUUCGAACGAAGAUAUAGUGAGCCUGCAAAGACAAAUGGAGGAGGGUACAGAGCUCGUUAGGAUGUUAUCGAACCGUGGCACGUGGAGCUGCUACAUCUUGUGCAGCUGCUGCAACUGCAAUAAGCCGAGUUAUGCGGAACAACUUGUUGAACUGGAUAGGUCUCUUAGAAUAUUGUUGGAGAUACUGAAGCUGCAGGAAGCGCGGGAUGUGAAGGAGGUCUUGGUUUUGGCUAGGAAGAUCAAUGACAAACAAGAUGAAUUGGAAAGGAGACUGGCCGAUUUGCUCAAAGUGCAGCAAGAAUCGGGGGACGGGGGAGAGUCUUCGGGAAGUGGUGCAGAGACAACACCAAAUGAACAAAAUGGAGAGAAUGGUGGACAACAAGUGGCACCGUCAGGUGGAGGAGUAGGGGCUGCUGCUCUAGGAGCGGCAUUUGGGGUGUUGUUUGACACUGUUAUGCAAGUGAAGGACAAGACUACCAUGCUUAAACGCCCCCUCGGAGAUCUCAAAUCAACGCUAGAUUCCGUAAAGCCGUUGAUAGAAGAGGUGGCAGAAUGUAGCAAGGUAUUGAAUCUCCCAAAUGAGGAAUUAGAAGAUGUUAGAAUACAAAUGGAGAAGGGUGCAGAGCUUGUGAGCAAUUGCUCAAAGAUUCGUCACUGGACUACCUAUAAAAUGUAUGAGUAUACCAACAAACUUCUUGGAUUGGACGAAUCGCUUCAAAGAUUGUUAACUGUGCUAAGAUUGCAGUUAGCAAGGGAUGUGAGGGAGACCCUGGUUUCCGUAAGCAAUAUAGAGGCGGUGAUCAAUCAAAUUGAAGGGAGUGGUGUGGUUAAAUUACAAAAUGAGCAAAAUGAAGCUAAAGGUUCAUGUGAAGCGCCCGCAGCCAUGGGUAAGAGUGCAGUUGGAUUGAAUGCACUAAGUGUGGAGGGAACAAGGGACGUGACUGAGACAUUGGAUCCGGAAGCGAAUAUAAAGGUAGGGUGGCAGAAAGUUGAAGAGAGUUGGGUGGCACGAAGUAAAACUGAACAUCCAUCACGUACAGUUGGACUGGAUGCAAUGAACAUGCAGGUGGGAGCAAGGAGUAUGGAGGAGACCUCUGUAAGUGAUGUAGAGCCGGGGCUCAAGCGAAUUCAGCGCAAAGAAGUAUCCAAACUUGAUGCGCCAUUUAGGGUAUUGGGGAAGGAUGUUCUUAAGGAUGAGGAAAAUGAGGAACUUGAUGAGCAAGUGGAAGAUCAUCAUGACAGGAAGAAGAAAGGAGAUGAGUCUGUGACCGGUGCAAGUGGAGAUGGGAUGGCGAUUUGUAAAGCUGAUGGGUGUGCAGCCGAUCUGAGUGAUGCAAAGGCGUAUAAUAGAAGGCAUAGGGUGUGUGAACUUCAUUCGAAGGCUCCACUUGUGAUUGUGUCUGGUCUAAAGAGAAGGUUUUGCCAUAAUUGCAGCAGAUUUCAUGAUCUAUCAGAAUUCGAUGACACCAAACAAAGUUGUCGUAGGCAUUUGCCCUACAUUGAACGCGAUGGUACAGGCACUCAGUUAAAGGACGUAAGUGGUGAUAUAGAUACGGUGAUCAGUCAAACUGAAAGGAGUGGUGCGGUACAAUCACAAAACGACCAAAGUGAAAUUAAAGGUUCAUAUGAAGUGGUGGAAGCCACACCACCAGCAGUUGGAUUGAAUGUACCGAGUGUGCAGGGAACAAGGGAUUCAAGGGAAACGUUGCAGACCUCAGUGUGCAGGGAACAAGGGAUUCAUACAGAGCUAGGACUCAAGCAAAUUCAGGGGAAAGAUGUGUUUGAUUCUGAACCUCCAUACGCUGAAUACAAGGAAACUGAAUACGUACCUCCAUCAGUUACAAUUGACAUGAAUGUGCUUUUGAGAGGAUUGAAGAGGUUUCUUCUUAAUGAAGAGGUGUCAGCGGUUGUGCUAACGGGUCCUGGGGGAAGCGGGAAAACCACAUUAGCAAAAUUCUUCUGUGAAGAUGAGGAAGUCAAAAAUAUAUUCAAGAACAACGUCUUCUUUGUUCAUGUUUCAGAAAAUCCUAACUUGAGCCUUAUGGUACAAACACUAUAUCAACAGAUGGGUUUCCAGAUACCUGCGUUGCAAAACGAAUCAAUUGCACUUCACUGGUUGCACCAAUUUCUCAUGGAAACAGCACUGCACCCAUCAGUGUUGGUCUUGGAUGAUGUUUGGCCUGGAUCAGAAUCCCUUCUUGACAAGUUUGAUGAAUUCAAAACACCAAAUUACAAGAUUAUGGUGACAUCAAGGUUUGAAUUUCCGGCAUUUGGUUUUCCAUAUUAUCUGAAACCACUGAAUGCUGAAGAUGAGAUGACUCUUUCUCAUCAUUCCCGCGCACACAACAUAGAAUUACUGGAUGAUGAAGACCUGAUAUGUGUUUCUCCACCACCCAUCACAUUUGAUGAUGAAGACCCGAUAACUCAUUUUCCUGAUUCCUCCGCAUCCUACUUGGGAGACGGAAGCUCUCAUGUUUCAACAGCUAUAAGGCCAAUGGAUCAAUUUCAUGAUUCCUCCGCAUCAACCUUGGGAGAUAAAAGCUCGUAUGUUCCAAAAGAUGCAGGGACAAUGUUUGAGCCCGACAACCCCGUCAAGUCUAAGCAGACAUAUAUGCAGCAGAAGUUGGAACUGAAGGUGAGUGCCAGUGACAAAGCAAUGAAGAAAGUCAUGAAAGCUGUCCACGCCAUAAAGGGGGUUCAUUCGACCAGUUGGGACGCGGAGAACCAGAGGCUAACAGUGAUGGGGCAGUUGGAUCCGGCGCUAAUAGCUACUAGGUUGAGAAAGAUUGCUUCGAAAACAGAGGUAAUAUCAGUUGGGCCAGCGAAGGAAGAGAUCAAAGAAGACAAGAAAGAUAAAUUGACCGAGAGAAAAGGCGAUAAGAAAGCUAGAAAUCUCACUAUGAAAGAGAAAAUGGAAGACAAGAACCAAGAAAAGAAAGAGCGAAGUCUUACCGUGAAAGAGAAAAUGGAGUUCGAUAAAAGAGAUGAGGAAGAGAGACUUCUAGAUGAGAAAGAGAGAGUCAUUACACCCAGGUGACACAGCCGUAAGAAAUCUCUCUUCCGGCUCCUCCGGUGGCUGUCCUUGUAUUUUGUUUGUAAUCUGUAAAACGAUAAAAGGGAAUUAAAGAAGCAAUCAUCCAAGAACUCUGCUUCAGAUGCCAACGAUAUCAAGGGUGAAGAUCAGAUAAACGUACAUUUUUCGAUCAAUGCUGUAAAUGUUUCAGAUAGCAAAACAGAAAACAGGUUUUGGUACAUCCAUUUGCUUUAAGGUUUAUAUACGCCGCGAUCAUCUAUACGGUGCUGUGAACUACCUUGUUUCUUGGAAAUGAAAAAUUCGAGAAUCUGGCACAUUGCCGAUUGCAUAAAUCGCCCAAAACAACCUUACUCUAGCACUACAAACAUAUUCUCUAGCAUUUCAUCUUCGAUUUGCCCGUCAGGGAUGGGAGAUGCGCGGCAACCAUGUCAAGAAGAAAGCAGAGCUUGCCGAGAAACCAACCAGCCCAAUGUUAAAGGAUUAGUACUGGCUUCAUCAGCUGACUUGAAAUCGAAGCUUAGAGAAUCAGGUAACUUUGAUCCCCACCUCCAGGCGAAAGUACUGAAAGUGGUUGAUGUUUCUUAUGGAGGAGAGGAUGGUUUCAAUCAGGCUGUUAAGUUGUCGGCGGAGUUUCUGUCCAACGUGAAAUUUAUACAGGAGCACAACUUGCUAGGAAGACACCUUGAAGAGGUUAACCAUGGGCGUAGAUGACACGCUAAAGGCUUUGGAGAUGGGAGCGAUUAACACACUUAUUGUGAGGGAAAAUCUUGACAGCAAUAGGUAUGUGUUAAAAGAACUCGAAGGCCGAUGAGAUUGUUGUAAAACAUUGCGACUUUCGAUAUCUUGGCAGCCAAGGAGAUCUAGAGGUUCAGGAGAGGAUCUCACUGCUGAAAUGGUCUGUUGACGAGCACAAGCGUUUUGGUUGUGAUCUUAAGUUUGUCACCAACAAAUCACACGAGGGUCGCAGUUCUGUCAAGGUUUGGAGGCAUUGGAGGGUUACCGAAUGAGUAUUUCUAGCCAGCUUACUGAAUGAAUUAUUCACAUCUUAUUCAAAUUAGUAAUAUGCCAGUUCCAGAUACAAUAUUCACACAACAGACACAAGGAAUCCACAACGAACAACAACAAUUGAAAUCUUCAAUUGUUAAGAAUUUGACAAGCUAAAUACAAGCAC